ensembl:lncRNA
AUGGGAAUUCGGGUUGGAUCUGGGGCCGGACCCUGGGGCUCAGGGCCGGGGCUCGGGCUUGGGGGCUCAGGUCCUGGUCUGGGUCGGGGGCUCGUGCUGAGGUCCGGGGCUCGGGGUUGGGUCGAGUUCCGCAGCUCAGGCUUGCGUCCAGGUCUAGAACUUGGGGUCAGGCUCGGGCUUGGGUCCAGGACUCGGGGUCAACUCCGGGUUCAGGGUCGAGGGUCUGGGGCUUGGGGUUGGUCAGGGGUCGUGGUUCGGUCAUCAAGGGUCUGGGGUUGGGGCUUGGGGCUAGCUCUGGGUCCAGGGUCUGUUCUGGGCAUUGGGGGCUCGGGGUCAGCUCCAGGGUGGGGGCUCUGGGGUCAAGGGUCCAGGGCUGGGGCUCGGGGCUGGGGCUCAGAGUCAGGGUCAACUCCAGGGUCAGGGUCAUCUUUGGAGUUGGGGGUUUGGGGUUGGGGGCUCAGGGUCAGCUCUAGGGUACAGGGCUUGUGUCCAGGGCUUGCAGUUAGCUCUGGUGUGGGGGCUCUGGGUUCAAGGGUCUGGGAUCAGCUCCAGGCUCAGGGGCUCAGGGUUGGGGCCUCAGGUCUGGGGCUCGGGGUCACUUCAGGGUCCAGGGCUUGGGGCUGGGGCUCGGGUCCAGAUUUGGGAGCUCUGGGUGAGCUCUGGGGAUGGGGCUUUGGGUCAUCUCCAGGGUUGGGAGCUCCAGUCCGGAGCACUAGGUUAACUCUGUGUUCAGGGUUGAGGGUCCAGGACUGGGGCUCAGGGUUGGGGCUUGGGGUCGGCUUCAGGGUCGGGGGCUUGGGGUCGGCUCCGGGGUUGGGGCUCUGGGGUCAAGGGUCCAGGGUGGGGGCUCCAGGGCUGUUGUUUGGGAUUGGGGCUCAAAGUCGGGGUCAUCUCUGGCAUCGGGUGCUUGGGGUCAGGGGUUCGAGGUCAGAUCUGGGUUUGGGGUCAGCACUGUGGUCCAGGGCUCUUGUCUGGGACUUGCAGUUGGCUCUGGGGUCAAGGGUUUGUGCUCAGCUCCAGGUUCAGGGGCUGGGGGUUGUGGGCUCAGGUCCUGGGCUUGGGGUUACCUCUGGAUCUGGGGCUCAGGGUUGA